GACGAACGUUGGCGGCGUGCUUAACACAUGCAAGUCGAACGGAAAGGCCCUGCUUUUGUGGGGUGCUCGAGUGGCGAACGGGUGAGUAACACGUGAGUAACCUGCCCUUGACUUUGGGAUAACUUCAGGAAACUGGGGCUAAUACCGGAUAGGAGCUCCUGCUGCAUGGUGGGGGUUGGAAAGUUUCGGCGGUUGGGGAUGGACUCGCGGCUUAUCAGCUUGUUGGUGGGGUAGUGGCUUACCAAGGCUUUGACGGGUAGCCGGCCUGAGAGGGUGACCGGCCACAUUGGGACUGAGAUACGGCCCAGACUCCUACGGGAGGCAGCAGUGGGGAAUAUUGCACAAUGGGCGGAAGCCUGAUGCGGCAACGCCGCGUGCGGGAUGACGGCCUUCGGGUUGUAAACCGCUUUCGCCUGUGACGAAGCGUGAGUGACGGUAAUGGGUAAAGAAGCACCGGCUAACUACGU
rnacentral:rRNA from 1 species